rnacentral:rRNA from 1 species
GAUGAACGCUGGCGGCGUGCCUAAUACAUGCAAGUCGAGCGAACAGAUGAGGAGCUUGCUCCUCUGACGUUAGCGGCGGACGGGUGAGUAACACGUGGAUAACCUACCUAUAAGACUGGGAUAACUUCGGGAAACCGGAGCUAAUACCGGAUAAUAUCUUGAACCGCAUGGUUCAAUAGUGAAAGACGGUUUUGCUGUCACUUAUAGAUGGAUCCGCGCCGCAUUAGCUAGUUGGUAAGGUAACGGCUUACCAAGGCAACGAUGCGUAGCCGACCUGAGAGGGUGAUCGGCCACACUGGAACUGAGACACGGUCCAGACUCCUACGGGAGGCAGCAGUAGGGAAUCUUCCGCAAUGGGCGAAAGCCUGACGGAGCAACGCCGCGUGAGUGAUGAAGGUCUUCGGAUCGUAAAACUCUGUUAUUAGGGAGGAACAAAUGUGUAAGUAACUAUGCACGUCUUGACGGUACCUAAUCAGAAAGCCACGGCUAACUACGUG